GCUUGUUCUCAUUCGGUUUGCAGAUUAAAUUGGAGCCAAUCCCAAAAGUGAGAAUGACUAAAGAGACUAUAUGUAUGUUGAUGUGAAAAUUCAAUAUCUCGAGUAGUCUUUCGUAAAUGUAAGGUUGGUAUUUUAUUUCUUAUAACGUCAACCGCCGUGCACCAAAAAGUGUGAAGAUGAAAUGAAAGAAUCAAUAGUUUAAUUUGGCGACUGUGCGAAUGAGAGAGGCAUAGCCGCGCAAAGAGCCAAAAGCGCCGUAAAAAUGCAAGCAAAGCAGGCAAUUGCAACUCGAAUACAUCCCUCCCUCUAAUUGACCUCGCAUACACACCCAACCCACACUUUUAUAACCAUUAAGACAAUUGCAUUCUUUUUAAUUAUGCCGUUACGCGCACUUCCGAGCCGCUCCUGAACGCAUCAUUAGACUCCAAUGCACGCACGCAAACGCAGCAGGUGUUCCGACGUACGUAAUGACGCUGGUCGCUGCUGAGCCGACCUAAUGUUCAGCAAACAAGCCAUGGUCGCGUGGGGUGUUGGAGCCGAUCCCAGAUGUCUUCGGGCAGUAGACGGGGGACACCCUGAACCGGUUGCCAGCCAAUCGCAGUCUUCCCUUCUGCGUUUCCUCUUCAGCUCUGCUUUGAAGUCCUGGUGCCAGCCCCAAAACCAAGCUCCCUGAAC